rnacentral:rRNA from 1 species
CAGUAGCCGCGGUAAUACGUAGGUGGCAAGCGUUGUCCAGAAUUAUUGGGCGUAAAGCGCGCGCAGGCGGAUCAGUUAGUCUGUCUUAAAAGUUCGGGGCUUAACCCCGUGAGGGGAUGGAAACUGCUGAUCUAGAGUAUCGGAGAGGAAAGUGGAAUUCCUAGUGUAGCGGUGAAAUGCGUAGAUAUUAGGAAGAACACCAGUGGCGAAGGCGACUUUCUGGACGAAAACUGACGCUGAGGCGCGAAAGCCAGGGGAGCGAACGGGAUUAGAUACCCCUGUAGUCCCUGUCUCUUAUACA